CAAUAGCGUAUAUUAAAGUUGUUGCAGUUAAAAAGCUCGUAGUUGGAUUUCUGGUAGGAGUGACCGUUCCGAACUUGAUUGUUCGUGUAUUGUGUUUUCUCCAGCCAUCCUUGUGGAGAACUUUUCUUGCAUUAAUUUGUAGGGAUUGGGACCCGCAUCGUUUACUGUGAAAAAAUUAGAGUGUUUAAAGCAGGCAAUCGCUUGAAUACAUUAGUAUGGAAUAGUAAGAUAGGACUUUGGUACUAUUUUGUUGGUUUGCAUACCAAAUUAAUGAUCAACAGGAACAGUUUGAGGAUAUUCGUAUGAACAUGUCAGAGGUGAAAUUCUUGGAUUUUGAUCAGACGAACUACUGCGAAAGCAUUUAUCAAGGAUGUUUUCAUUAA
rnacentral:rRNA from 1 species